rnacentral:rRNA from 1 species
AUCAUGGCUCAGAUUGAACGCUGGCGGCAGGCCUAACACAUGCAAGUCGAACGGUAACAGGAAGAAGCUUGCUUCUUUGCUGACGAGUGGCGGACGGGUGAGUAAUGUCUGGGAAACUGCCUGAUGGAGGGGGAUAACUACUGGAAACGGUAGCUAAUACCGCAUAACGUCGCAAGACCAAAGAGGGGGACCUUCGGGCCUCUUGCCAUCGGAUGUGCCCAGAUGGGAUUAGCUAGUAGGUGGGGUAACGGCUCACCUAGGCGACGAUCCCUAGCUGGUCUGAGAGGAUGACCAGCCACACUGGAACUGAGACACGGUCCAGACUCCUACGGGAGGCAGCAGUGGGGAAUAUUGCACAAUGGGCGCAAGCCUGAUGCAGCCAUGCCGCGUGUAUGAAGAAGGCCUUCGGGUUGUAAAGUACUUUCAGCGGG